rnacentral:rRNA from 1 species
AUUGAACGCUGGCGGCAGGCCUAACACAUGCAAGUCGAGCGGAUGAAGGGAGCUUGCUCCUGGAUUCAGCGGCGGACGGGUGAGUAAUGCCUAGGAAUCUGCCUGGUAGUGGGGGAUAACGUCCUGAAACGGGCGCUAAUACCGCAUACGUCCUGAGGGAGAAAGUGGGGGAUCUUCGGACCUCACGCUAUCAGAUGAGCCUAGGUCGGAUUAGCUAGUUGGUGGGGUAAAGGCCUACCAAGGCGACGAUCCGUAACUGGUCUGAGAGGAUGAUCAGUCACACUGGAACUGAGACACGGUCCAGACUCCUACGGGAGGCAGCAGUGGGGAAUAUUGGACAAUGGGCGAAAGCCUGAUCCAGCCAUGCCGCGUGUGUGAAGAAGGUCUUCGGAUUGUAAAGCACUUUAAGCUGGGAGGAAGGGCAGUAAGUUAAUACCUUGCUGUUUUGACGUUACCAACAGAAUAAGCACCGGCUAACUUCGUG